GAUGAACGCUGGCGGCGUGCUUAACACAUGCAAGUCGAACGGGAAAUAUUUCAUUGAGACUUCGGUGGAUUUGAUUUAUUUCUAGUGGCGGACGGGGGAGUAACGCGUGGGUAACCUGCCUUAUACAGGGGGAUAACAGUAAGAAAUGGCUGCUACUACCGCAUAAGCGCACAGAGCUGCAUGGCUCAGUGUGAAAAACUCCGUGGGGAUAAGAUGGACGCGCGUUGGAUUAGCUAGCGGGUGGGGUAACGGCCCAGCAAGGCGACGAUCCAUAGCCGGGAGGGGAGGGGGGACGACCACGUUGGGGCUGAGACACAGACCAGACUCGUACGGGAGGGAGCAGAGUGGAAUAUAGCAGAAGGGGGGAUGCCGUGAUGAAGCGACGCGGGGGGAAGGAAGCAGUAGCUCGGUAUGUGAACUUCUAUCAGCAGGGAAGAUAGUGACGGUACCUGACUAAGAAGCCCCGGCUAACUACGUG
rnacentral:rRNA from 1 species